rnacentral:rRNA from 1 species
AUUGAACGCUGGCGGCAUGCCUUACACAUGCAAGUCGAACGGGAACAGGUCUUCGGAUGCUGACGAGUGGCGAACGGGUGAGUAAUACAUCGGAACGUGCCCAGUCGUGGGGGAUAACUACGCGAAAGCGUAGCUAAUACCGCAUACGAUCUAUGGAUGAAAGCGGGGGAUCGCAAGACCUCGCGCGAUUGGCGCGGCCGAUGGCAGAUGAGGUAGUUGGUGGGGUAAAGGCUCACCAAGCCGACGAUCUGUAGCUGGUCUGAGAGGACGACCGGCCACACUGGGACUGAGACACGGCCCAGACUCCUACGGGAGGCAGCAGUGGGGAAUUUUGGACAAUGGGCGCAAGCCUGAUCCAGCCAUGCCGCGUGAAGGAUGAAGGCCUUCGGGUUGUAAACUGCUUUUGUACGGAACGAAAAGUCUCUUUCUAAUAAAGAGGGAUCAUGACGGUACCGUAAGAAUAAGCACCGGCUAACUACGUGCCAGCCGCCGCAGUAACAC